rnacentral:tRNA from 1 species
GACUCCGUAGCUCAGUUGGAUAGAGCAGCCGCCUUCUAAGCGGCAGGUCGCAGGUUCGAAUCCUGCCGGGGUCG